rnacentral:rRNA from 1 species
UGAUCAAGCUACAAAGAGCGCAUCAUGGAUGCCUUGGUGCCAAUAGGCGAUGAAGGACGUGGUAAGCUGCGAUAAGCUACGGACAGCGGCAAACACGCUUUGACCCGUAGAUUUCCGAAUGGGAUAACCUGAGCGGGGUAACACCUGCUCGAGUUCGUGUGAAUCUAUAGCACGAACAUCGCGACACCCGGCGAAGUGAAACAUCUCAGUAACCGGAGGAAGAGAAAUCGAAAGAGAUUCCGUCAGUAGUGGCGAGCGAAAGCGGAACAGGCUAAACCCAGCCCCACUUUGUUGACAGGACCGAUGAGGUAAUUGUCGAUCUAGUGGGCAAAGUGGGGCUGGGGGUUGUAGGAGCCCGACGUGGUAGUGCGACGAUUAGAUGAAGCGAAUGGAAAAUCGCUCCAUAGAGGGUGACAGGCCCGUAAUCGAAAAUCCGAGCACACCUAGGGAUUUCCUGAGUAAUACGAUGCACGUGAAACUUCGUAUGAAUCUGCGCCGACCACGGCGUAAGCCUAAAUACUCAUUGGCGACCGAUAGUGAACCAGUACCGCGAGGGAAAGGUGAAAAGAACCGCUGUGAGCGGAGUGAAAUAGUACCUGAAAUGAUGUGCUUACAAGGUGUGGAAGCUGGCGCAAGCUGGUGACCGCGUGCCUUUUGCUUAAUGAGUCUGCGAGUUACUAUCAGUGGCGAGCCUAAGGCGUUCUGCGCUGGAGGCGAAGCGAAAGCGAGUCCGAAAUGGGCAACCCAGUCGCCGGUAGUAGACCCGAAGCGGAGGUGAUCUACCCAUGAGCAGGAUGAACGUUGCUUAACCGCAACUGAAGGUCCGAACCCGUGAAGGUUGAAAACUUCUGGGAUGACUUGUGGGUAGGAGCGAAAGACUAAUCAAACCCCGUGAUAGCUGGUUCUCCCCGAAAUAGCUUGAGGG